rnacentral:rRNA from 1 species
AGCGCAGGCGGUUGGAAUAGUCUGAUGUGAAAGCCCACGGCUUAACCGUGGAAGGUCAUUGGAAACUGUCCAACUUGAAUGCAGAAGAGGUAAGUGGAAUUCCAUGUGUAGCGGUGAAAUGCGUAGAUAUAUGGAGGAACACCAGUGGCGAAGGCGACUUACUGGUCUGUAAUUGACGCUGAGGCUGAAAGCGUGGGUAGCGAACA